GCUUAACACAUGCAAGUCGAGCGAGAAUCGUUUAUUGAAGGCUUCGGCUGGAAAUAGAUGAGGAAAGCGGCGAACGGAUGAGUAACUCGUGGGCAACCUGGCCUUAAGAAAAGGAUAGCCCCCGGAAACGGGGAGUAAUACUUUAUGAGAAUGAAAGAGGGCAUCCUACUUUCAUUCAAAGCGCAAGCGCUUAAGGAUGGGCCCGCGUAUCAUUAGCUAGUUGGUGAGAUAACAGCCCACCAAGGCAACGAUGAUUAGCCGGUCUGAGAGGGCGAACGGCCACAUUGGAACUGAGAGACGGUCCAAACUCCUACGGGAGGCAGCAGUGGGGAAUAUUGCGCAAUGGAGAAGAACUCUGACGCAGCAAUACCGCGUGAGCGAAGAAGGUCUUCGGAUCGUAAAGCUCUGUUAUCAGGGAAGAAGAAAAUGACGGUACCUGAUGAGCAAGUCCCGGCUAACUACGUGCCAGCAGCCGCAGUAA
rnacentral:rRNA from 1 species